ACGUAGGAGGCGAGCGUUAUCCGGAUUUACUGGGUGUAAAGCGCGUGCAGGCGGUUUGGUAAGUUGGAUGUGAAAGCUCCUGGCUUAACUGGGAGAGGUCGUUCAAAACUACCAGACUUGAGGGCGGUAGAGGGAGGUGGAAUUCCGUGUGUAGUGGUGAAAUGCGUAGAUAUACGGAGGAACACCAGUGGCGAAAGCGGUCUCCUAGACCGAUCCUGACGCUCAGACGCGAAAGCUAGGGUAGCAAACGGGAUUAGAGACCCCGGUAGUCCUAGCUGUAAACGAUGUGAACUUGGCGUCGGUGAGUUUAAAUCCAUCGGUGCCGAAGCUAACGCGAUAAGUUCACCACCUGGGGACUACGGCCGCAAGGUUA
rnacentral:rRNA from 1 species